CUUCUACUGUUUAAUAAAAACAUUGUAAUACAGAUGUGUUAUAACCUCCUGCCCAAUGAAAACAUUUGAAUGGCCGCGGUAAUUUGACCGUGCAAAGGUAGCAUAAUAAAUUGUUUAAUAAAUUUAAACUAGAAUGAAAGGAAUAAAGAAGG
rfam:Trichinella pseudospiralis scaffold353s, whole genome shotgun sequence.